GGAGUCUUAUCAAAAGGGCAUCAAACAACAUUGUGUGCUCUUGCACUGCUAAAAUAAAGGUUGAAAACUGGUGGAUCACAUGAUCCCUAGUGACUCUUCUAAAAUUUAUGUCAUCAUAAUUCCUGACAGUGAAUAAGAGAUACUUAUUGUACAAUUUUGUGAUAGGAAGUUCCAAGAGAGGCAAGUACUCAUGUUUACUAACAAAAUAAUUCAUUGAACAAAUGUUUACUGCUCCUCUAUGUUCUAGGCACUGGGACCUCUAUGGUAAACUCUACAGGCAAAGCCUCUACCCUCAAGGAACUUCCAUCUUGAUGACAGAGACUGGCAAUAAACAGAUGAAUACAUGUAAUCUGAUAUAGAGAGGUGAGAAAUACUAUGGACCAGAAGAAAGAAGCGGAAGGGAAUAGAGCAUGAUAACUGGGGGUGGGGGUUGGGGAGUGCAUUGAAGAGGUGAUAUUUGAGCAAGCAGUGACUGCAGUAAGGAAAGCUAUGAGGAUAUCUAGAGUGCUCAGGCGGAAGCAACAGCAAGUAUAAAGACCUGAGGCAGGGGUUUGCUCAGCAAGGGAGUCAGUGGCAGGAGAUGAGUUCAGGAUGUAGCCAGGCCCCUGAUCACAUAGGUGCUUGCAGGUCCCAUAUUCACAAGAAGAACAUGAUGUGAUCGGAAGGCCUCCAAGGGCUCUGAGCAGGUGGUGGCAUGAUUGAGCUAAUGUAGAUAGGGCAAGAGAAGCAGGGACCACAGAUAAAAGGAGAGAGCAGUAGGCUAGGUGAGAAUGAAACAAACACUAACGGCUUCCAGAAAAGUUUAUUGACCUAUUCCUUUACUUCCUUCAUCCACUAAGAGCUCUGACAGGCCCUGCAGGAUGUACACACUCUACAUACUCAAUGCAAUUCUCCUUUCCUUUUUGCUUUAUCACAACCUGGAAUGAAGGGCAUCAAGUCUCAGACAUCCAGACUGAGGUAAGUAUAGGACACCAUUAAAGCACAGAGUACCCAGGAAGUGUUUCAGUCCUGGUACCCAAUGUUGACGUUAGUACUGAAAUACUUCAAUAGUACUAAUAUAUCUCUCUGCUUCCUGUCACUUUAAAUGGUGCUGUGGAGACAUGGCAAGUAUCCUUGAGACCACAUUCUAUUCCUGAAGCUGAAAGAUCCAGACUCAGCAAGGUCUCUAGAGAUAGCUGCUCGCUGGAAGUGGUGCUGGGAACAAGGCUGGCUGUCCCCACACCAGAGCAGCCUCUAGAAAGUUGCUGAAUGGAUGUUACUGCCCACCAAAGAAGCCACUGCCAUGAGAAACAUCACCCAGAGAGGAAGAUGUUUCCACUUAUUAUAAUCAAGUCCAUGCUCUAACCUCACAAUGACCACAUUUCCCAAAUUCGAAGACUCUUAUCAUGCUGACUUUUCUCUUCUUUUUUUUGAGACAGAGUCUCGCUCUGUCGCUCAGGUUGGAGUGCAGUGCCACAAUCUUGGCUCACUGCAACCUCUGCCUCCUGGGUUCAAACGAUUCUCCUGCCUAGCCACCCGAGUAGAUGGGACUACAGGUGUGCACCACCACUCCCGGCUAAUUUUUGUAUUUUUAGUAGAGACAGGGUUUUGCCAUGUUGGCCAGGCUGGUCUCGAACUCCUGGCCUCAAGUGAUCCACCUGCCUCGGCCUCCCAAAGUAUUGGGAUUACAGGCAUGAGCCACUGCGCC
rnacentral:lncRNA from 1 species